UAUACGUUCUACAUAUCCCCAGAUAGCUCAGAUCUGAGCGCACAUUAUUACCGAAUGGCGCUCAGAUCACAUACAUACAGUUCAAUCGCCAUGGAGCCAAAGUCCUUCACAUAGUCUUUUCGUUACAUGAACAGGCUCCAUGGCUUAGCUAUCUGGGUGAUGCUGUUCAUCCGGUUAAACUACCGAAUGAACAGUCAUUCGGUUCAGCUCUCGAAUGGGAAGGGAAGGAGGCUGGCGGCUCAGCGGUGUUCGCGCAAUUAAGUGUCCGUUUUCAG